AAUUUAUUGAAAACAGACUGUUUUCUCCAGUACUAUUUAAAUUUUAGGUUAUCUACAAUGCGUUUGACUGAACUUAAAUGAAACUAGACAAGACCCUAAUUAUUACCUUUCUUAUGUUCAAAAACUUCUUUUGCACACUAGGACCCUGCUCACCUAUCUUGCUUCAGAGGGCAUUAUUGCCAGAUUGGCACUAUUCAAGAUGCAUAUUCAAAUACAUAAAUACAAGGAAGAGAGAGACUAACAUUAGUCAAGGUGUGAUUAUGACAUGCAAGACAUGUUUUUCUUGGAAUAAACAAGAAGCUUGCAAAUUAGAGACAAGUUUAACAAAGG
rnacentral:lncRNA from 1 species